rnacentral:rRNA from 1 species
AUACGAAGGGUGCAAGCGUUAAUCGGAAUUACUGGGCGUAAAGCGCGCGUAGGUGGUUUUGUAAGUUGGAGGUGAAAGCCCCGGGCUUAACCUGGGAAUUUCCUCCAAAACUGCAUGACUAGCGUACGGUAGAGGGUAGUUGAAUUUCUUGUGUAGCGGUGAAAUGCGUAGAUAUAGGAAGUAACACAGUUGGCUAAGGCGACUCCCGGAAUUGAUAUUGAUUCUGAGGUGCCAAAACGUGAGGAAAAAACGGGAUUAGAUACCAUGGUAGUCCACGCGGUAAAGGAUGUCAAUUAGCCGUUGGGAUCCUUGAGAUCUUAGUGGCGCAGCUAACGCAUUAAGUUGACCGCCUGGGGAGUACGGCCGCAAGGUUAAAACUCAAAUGAAUUGGCGGGG